CAAUAGCGUAUAUUUAAGUUGUUGCAGUUAAAAAGCUCGUAGUUGGAUUUCGGAUGGGACUUGCCGGUCCGUCGUUUCGAUGUGCACUGGCCAGUCCUAUCUUGUUGUCGGGGACUAGCUCCUGGGCUUCACUGUCCGGGACUAGGAGCUGACGAGGUUACUUUGAGUAAAUUAGAGUGUUCAAAGCAAGCCUACGCUCUGAAUACAUUAGCAUGGAAUAACACGAUAGGACUCUGGCUUAUCUUGUUGGUCUGUGAGACCAGAGUAAUGAUUAAGAGGGACAGUCGGGGGCAUUCGUAUUUCAUUGUCAGAGGUGAAAUUCCUGGAUUUAUGAAAGACGAACUUCUGCGAAAGCAUUUGUCAAGGAUGUUUUCAUUAA
rnacentral:rRNA from 1 species